GAUUCAUUAGGUAAGUUUGUUUUCUUUUCUUUUUAGUAGUCGUGAAAGGUGCCAAAUUGGCAGAGGCUCACGUUUCUUCUCUUUACACCAAACAGCAGAGAGAGAUCAUCAUUGCCUGAAUUUAGCUUUGUGACUGCAAGAGCAAGACCAGUUCCUGUCUGGAGACGACUGUUACAAUAAUAUCAUCCUAUUAUUUUAUGUUCACUCUUUAUCAAUUUGAACAGAUGUUUACAUGUACUAUAAUUAGCAUUUUAUCUCUACAGUUCUCUAAGAGUACAUCUGAGUCCAAAGUGUAUCUGAAUGUGUGCUCUGACCUUAUUCUUAAAUGUUUUCUCCCCGUACUUUAUAGCCAUUUAUUUUUUAAACACCUUAAGAAGGAACGAAAAAGUUCUCUUGGAUGACGUAUAUUCAAGUCUGAGCCAAAUUGAGGAUUGUGUCUAGGAAAUCUGUAAAGCCAUACUACUGUGUUCAUUAGCAUGAGCAAUUUAAAAUGAAAAUGAAUUAAAAAGUUAAACAUGAGUUUGGUUUUAAUUUUGGGGGGAUCUUAAGAUAUAUUUCUGGGAGUAGGA
rnacentral:lncRNA from 1 species